UACGAAGGGGGCUAGCGUUGCUCGGAAUUACUGGGCGUAAAGGGCGCGUAGGCGGACAGUUUAGUCAGAGGUGAAAGCCCAGGGCUCAACCUUGGAACUGCCUUUGAUACUGACUGUCUUGAGUUCGGGAGAGGUGAGUGGAAUGCCGAGUGUAGAGGUGAAAUUCGUAGAUAUUCGGCGGAACACCAGUGGCGAAGGCGACUCACUGGACAAGUAUUGACGCUGAGGUGCGAAAGCGUGGGGAGCAAACAGG
rnacentral:rRNA from 1 species